UUCCGUAGGUGAACCUGCGGAAGGAUCAUUACUGAGUGAGGGUUCCUUCGGGGCCCAACCUCCCACCCUUGUAUACUGUACCAAGUUGCUUCGGCGGGCCCGCCGUUCGCGCGGCCGCCGGGGGGGAACCCCUCCCCCCGGGCGAGCGCCCGCCGGAGACCCCAACGUGAACACUGUCUGAAGUUUUGUCGUCUGAGUUCGAUUGUAUCGCAAUCAGUUAAAACUUUCAACAAUGGAUCUCUUGGUUCCGGCAUCGAUGAAGAACGCAGCGAAAUGCGAUAAUUAAUGUGAAUUGCAGAAUUCAGUGAAUCAUCGAGUCUUUGAACGCACAUUGCACCCCCUGGUAUUCCGGGGGGUAUGCCUGUCCGAGCGUCAUUGCUGCCCUCAAGCCCGGCUUGUGUGUUGGGUCCUCGUCCCCCCCGGGGGACGGGCCCGAAAGGCAGCGGCGGCACCGCGUCCGGUCCUCGAGCGUAUGGGGCUUUGUCACACCGCUCUCGUAGGCCCGGCCGGCGCUGGCCGACGCUGAAAAGCAACCAUUAUUUCUCCAGGUUGACCUCGGAUCAGGUAGGGAUACCCGCUGAACUAA
rnacentral:rRNA from 1 species